rnacentral:rRNA from 1 species
AUUGAACGCUGGCGGCAGGCCUAACACAUGCAAGUCGAGCGGAUGAAGGGAGCUUGCUCCGGAUUCAGCGGCGGACGGGUGAGUAAUGCCUAGGAAUCUGCCUGGUAGUGGGGGAUAACGUCCGGAAACGGGCGCUAAUACCGCAUACGUCCUGAGGGAGAAAGUGGGGGAUCUUCGGACCUCACGCUAUCAGAUGAGCCUAGGUCGGAUUAGCUAGUUGGUGGGGUAAAGGCCUACCAAGGCGACGAUCCGUAACUGGUCUGAGAGGAUGAUCAGUCACACUGGAACUGAGACACGGUCCAGACUCCUACGGGAGGCAGCAGUGGGGAAUAUUGGACAAUGGGCGAAAGCCUGAUCCAGCCAUGCCGCGUGUGUGAAGAAGGUCUUCGGAUUGUAAAGCACUUUAAGUUGGGAGGAAGGGCAGUAAGUUAAUACCUUGCUGUUUUGACGUUACCAACAGAAUAAGCACCGGCUAACUUCGUG